UACCCAGUUUCGGGGACCUUGGUACAGGCAGGCCGGGGAUUCCCCAUUUUAUACCGGGCUCAUCGAGCCCACUGUUUUGGGGGCCUUGAUACAGGCAGGUCAAGGUUUCCCUUCUUUACAUCCAGGGCCAUGCGCUUAGCGCACGCCCUCCCGUUUUGGGGACCUUGGUACAGGCAGGCCGGGGAUUCCCUCUUUUAUUGCUCCU
rnacentral:ncRNA from 1 species